AAAAAAAAAAGAGAGAAAAGUAGAAAAAAUGUGAAAAAAAAGUGAAGGUUGUGUUAGUGUGUAAUAAAAGUCAGCUUGCCGAAUUAUGGAUUUAAUGUUGAGAUUUUGGUUAAUAGUUGGACCAUUUGCUGAUAAAUGUUGUGUGUCAUUCCUUUUUCUUAGAUUAGUUAACCUGGAAUUAGAGGAGUUUGUGGUUUAGAAGCUAACCGGAGUGAUGUUUCUUGGACUUGACCAUUGAUGCUUGAAUAUUAUUUUUCUUGGUAUCUUGGCAAUUUGUUGGAUAGAGCAAUAGCCACUAUCAAAUAUUGGUGUUUGUUUCUUGUUCUCAUGCUUGAGGACAAGCAUGGUUUAGGUGUGGGGGGAAUUGAUAGGGUGUUAAUUGUUGGUAUUUUUAUUAUUAAUUUUCCCUUCUAUCCCUGACAAAUAUUGUGUUAAUUGCUGAUAUUUACUCAUAUUUGGUAUUUGGAAUCAAUUUCAGGAAUGAAGCAGAAAACUACCAAAAAGGAGGGACUUUGUGAAAAAUAUGGAGACUUCUAAGGGUUUCAAUCCUUGGGCCCUUGAAUUGGUGGGGGACCACAAGCUAGUGAAGUCAUUUGGGCUUCAAAGAAAGCAACGUAGAGAGACUUGGAACAAGAAGUACUUGGGAGGCUUUGUCCACAUGUGUGGGGACCACCUAGAUAGCUUUUAGUCAUCUUUCUUUUGUUGCUUUAAAAG
rnacentral:lncRNA from 1 species